rnacentral:rRNA from 1 species
AUUGAACGCCGGCGGCAAGCCUUACACAUGCAAGUCGAACGGUAACAGGUCUUCGGAUGCUGACGAGUGGCGAACGGGUGAGUAAUACAUCGGAACGUGCCCGAUCGUGGGGGAUAACGAAGCGAAAGCUUUGCUAAUACCGCAUAAGAUCUACGGAUGAAAGCAGGGGACCGCAAGGCCUUGCGCGAACGGAGCGGCCGAUGGCAGAUUAGGUAGUUGGUGGGAUAAAAGCUUACCAAGCCGACGAUCUGUAGCUGGUCUGAGAGGACGACCAGCCACACUGGGACUGAGACACGGCCCAGACUCCUACGGGAGGCAGCAGUGGGGAAUUUUGGACAAUGGGCGAAAGCCUGAUCCAGCCAUGCCGCGUGCAGGAUGAAGGCCUUCGGGUUGUAAACUGCUUUUGUACGGAACGAAAAGACUCUGGUUAAUACCUGGGGUCCAUGACGGUACCGUAAGAAUAAGCACCGGCUAACUACGUG